AGAGUUUGAUCAUGGCUCAGGAUGAACGCUAGCGGCAGGCUUAACACAUGCAAGUCGAGGGGUAUAGGUUUUCGGACCUAGAGACCGGCGCACGGGUGCGUAACGCGUAUGCAAUCUACCUUUUACAGAGGGAUAGCCCAGAGAAAUUUGGAUUAAUACCUCAUAGUAUUAUUGAAUGGCAUCAUUUAAUAAUUAAAGUCACAACGGUAAAAGAUGAGCAUGCGUCCCAUUAGCUUGUUGGUAAGGUAACGGCUUACCAAGGCAACGAUGGGUAGGGGUCCUGAGAGGGAGAUCCCCCACACUGGUACUGAGACACGGACCAGACUCCUACGGGAGGCAGCAGUGAGGAAUAUUGGUCAAUGGGCGCAAGCCUGAACCAGCCAUGCCGCGUGCAGGAUGACGGUCCUAUGGAUUGUAAACUGCUUUUGUACAGGAAGAAACAGUUCUACGUGUAGAACCUUGACGGUACUGUAAGAAUAAGGAUCGGCUAACUCCGUGCCAGCAGCCGCGGUAAUACGGAGGAUCCAAGCGUUAUCCGGAAUCAUUGGGUUUAAAGGGUCCGUAGGCGGUUUUGUAAGUCAGUGGUGAAAGCCCAUCGCUCAACGGUGGAACGGCCAUUGAUACUGCAAGACUUGAAUUAUUAGGAAGUAACUAGAAUAUGUAGUGUAGCGGUGAAAUGCUUAGAGAUUACAUGGAAUACCAAUUGCGAAGGCAGGUUACUACUAAUGGAUUGACGCUGAUGGACGAAAGCGUGGGGAGCGAACAGGAUUAGAUACCCUAGUAGUCC
rnacentral:rRNA from 1 species